rnacentral:rRNA from 1 species
CAGUCGCCACGGUAAUACAGAGGGUGCAAGCGUUAAUCGGAAUUACUGGGCGUAAAGCGCGCGUAGGUGGUUUGUUAAGUUGGAUGUGAAAGCCCCGGGCUCAACCUGGGAACUGCAUCCAAAACUGGCAAGCUAGAGUACGGUAGAGGGUGGUGGAAUUUCCUGUGUAGCGGUGAAAUGCGUAGAUAUAGGAAGGAACACCAGUGGCGAAGGCGACCACCUGGACUGAUACUGACACUGAGGUGCGAAAGCGUGGGGAGCAAACAGGAUUAGAUACCCGAGUAGUCCCUGUCUCUUAUAC